GGAUAUAGCUCAGCAGCACAGCGUCUGCCUAGCAAGCAUGAGGUCCUGAGUUCAAUCCUCAGUACCA
rnacentral:tRNA from 1 species